rnacentral:rRNA from 1 species
AGUGAACGCUGGCGGUAGGCCUAACACAUGCAAGUCGAACGGCAGCACAGUAAGAGCUUGCUCUUACGGGUGGCGAGUGGCGGAAGGGUGAGGAAUACAUCGGAAUCUACUUUUUCGUGGGGGAUAACGUAGGGAAACUUACGCUAAUACCGCAUACGACCUACGGGUGAAAGUAGGGGAUCUUCGGACCUUGCGCGAUUGAAUGAGCCGAUGUCGGAUUAGCUAGUUGGCGGGGUAAAGGCCCACCAAGGCGACGAUCCGUAGCUGGUCUGAGAGGAUGAUCAGCCACACUGGAACUGAGACACGGUCCAGACUCCUACGGGAGGCAGCAGUGGGGAAUAUUGGACAAUGGGCGCAAGCCUGAUCCAGCCAUACCGCGUGGGUGAAGAAGGCCUUCGGGUUGUAAAGCCCUUUUGUUGGGAAAGAAAAGCAGCAGGUUAAUACCCCGCUGUUCUGACGGUACCCAAAGAAUAAGCACCGGCUAACUUCGUG